GUUUGGCAGAGAUCCAGGAAUUGUCCAGGCUGCAUAUACUAAUAAAGAUACCUCUGCCCAAAUCCAGCAGGAAGCAAUUUUAAGAAUACGAGGCUUACAUUCCCAAAGAGGCAGUGUGGGACAUGUUGGCUCCUGGCAGUACCAAUCUACUUCAGAGAAAAUAUGAGCAUUGAAGAAACUGCAUGUGGAGUUGGCUUUAACUGUGGCAAAAGUUAGCCACUGGACAACAAAGUAUCCUCUAAUCAACUGCUGACAAAUAUGACAAAAUAGACAGACAGGACAUGAAACAAAGGACUACCGAUUCUUGCCAAGACAAAUGUGUUUGAGGCUUUAUCAACAGGCAUCCUCUGAGGCCAGAACAAUAUGGUACCAUCCCUGAAGUGGCCUUUGCAAUCUGGAAAAAGUAUAGUGCCCUUUUCUUAGAAAGCAGCUGAACAGGCAGUGUACUGGUGGCUUCUGGUGUGCAGUGGAACAAGCUGAAACAGUUAAUCUUGAAAGAGUAACUGAGCUGAUAGAGUCUAACUUCUCAAUGGCAGGCUGUCAUUUAAUAAAAGAAAUGAAGCCACUCACAAGCCAAAAUGAAUGGACAACUGAAUUAAAAAAAAUCAACAUUUUCCAGAAUUUAUAAUCCAGAAUCAUGACAGGAUACUGGUGGAAUUCAGGUGUUUCUGGUACAUGGACUACUCUCACCAAUGUGAGUUCGAACUGUAGGCCUUUUGUAUAUCAUACUACACAAAUGAGUCUGUCAGAUACCCUAUGCCUAUAGACUGAAGAUGAUGCCCCAAUGUUGCAGAGAAAACUCUGGUGACUGUCCAGGCAGCUGGCUGUUUCCAUUAACUCACAUUUUUUUUUGGAAGCUGCUUGUGUGCACUUCCUGUUUUACUAGUUAAUAUUCUUUACUUCUUGGG